CAGGCACUGGGAGGGGGGGGUCAGGACACCCACCCACUGGUGUCACCCCCUGGCCCUCACGCCCCCUGUCCCCGUGUCCCCCCCCAUGUCCCCACGGGUGCAGGGGACCCCCCCCCGGGGCCGUCACCCCUGGAGCGGGGGCUCCACGCCCUGGUGGGCACCUUCUACCAGUACGCGGGGACCCCGGGGGGGGGCCGGGAGCCCGUCCUGGACCCCCCCGCCUUCCAGCGCCUGCUGCGCCGCGAGCUGGGCCACCAGCUCACCGACACGGGGCAGCCUGAGGCGGUGGCCGCCAUCUUCGCGCUGCUGGACGCCAACGGGGACCGGGUCAUCUCCUUCGACGAGUACUGGCAGCUGGUGGCCUGGCUCUGCCACGUCCUGCGCCACCGCCACUACGGGGCCGCGCCGGCCCCCCCGCCACCCCCCAUCUGUGGGGACGCCGACGGCCACCACCCGGACCCCAACCCUGCCCCAGUGUCCCCAGCCCAUGGGGAUGGGCACCAGUGACCUCCGACCAAGUGGGGACAUCCCCAGGGUGAUGGCCCUUGGUCCCCCAAGCCAUGGUGGGGUCAUGGACGUCCCCAGGGUGAGUGGUCCCUGAUCCCCCACCCUGUGAUGGGGACAGGGAUGUCCCGGGGGGCAACGGGUCCUGGUCCUUUAUUCCGUGAUGGGGACAGGGAUGGGGAUGUCCCCAGGGUGAGUGGUCCCUGGUCCCCCACCCUGUCAUGGGGACAAGGACGGUGACACCCAGAGAGACACAGGGAUGGAGGGUGCCCCAAUUCCUGGUGUUUUGACCCCAAAUACCCCUGGCAGUGGGACAAGGUGGCCGGGGUGGUUCCAGCCCCACAUUUACAGGAGAAGGGGGGAAUCGGGGCCCAUGCGGAUGUCCCUGUCCCCUCCCUGUCCCCGGGGGCACUGGUGGGAGGAGGAGAAAUGUCUUAAAAACCAGUUGAAUACGAAAAAUGUACUGGAAUUAUAAUAAAAAAGACCCAAAAAGGGACGUUGAGGUUUGA
rnacentral:lncRNA from 1 species